UCGCAGUGAUGACGUAAUUUCCUGCCAUUCGUAGUUUACACCAGAGGUCGACAGACCAAAGAUGGCCCAAAUCUUCCUUGGAUGUCUGAGCGA
ensembl:snoRNA SNORD14 Small nucleolar RNA SNORD14